rnacentral:rRNA from 1 species
UAUUGCACAAUGGGGGGAACCCUGAUGCAGCGACGCCGCGUGGGUGAAGGAGCGUUUCGGCGCGUAAAGCCCUAUCGGCAGGGAAGAAGGAGGACGGUACCUGACUAAGAAGCCCCGGCUAACUACGUGCCAGCAGCCGCGGUAAUACGUAGGGGGCAAGCGUUAUCCGGAUUUACUGGGUGUAAAGGGAGCGUAGACGGUUAUGCAAGUCUGGAGUGAAAGCCCGGGGCUCAACCCCGGGACUGCUUUGGAAACUGUAAAACUGGAGUGCAGGAGAGGCAGGCGGAAUUCCUAGUGUAGCGGUGAAAUGCGUAGAUAUUAGGAGGAACACCAGUGGCGAAGGCGGCCUGCUGGACUGUAACUGACGUUGAGGCUCGAAGGCGUGGGGAGCAAACAGG